UGUGACAUACCUAUAAUUUGCCUCGGCGGACUCAACGACGGUGCUCCGAGAAAUCGGGCGCCGCUCGCUGCCAGAGGAACCCCAAACUCUAUGUAUUCUUGUGGAUCUUCUGAGUAAAACAAAACAAAUAAAUCAAAACUUUCAACAACGGAUCUCUUGGUUCUGGCAUCGAUGAAGAACGCAGCGAAAUGCGAUAAGUAAUGUGAAUUGCAGAAUUCAGUGAAUCAUCGAAUCUUUGAACGCACAUUGCGCCCGCCAGUAUUCUGGCGGGCAUGCCUGUUCGAGCGUCAUUUCAACCCUCAAGCCCCCGGGCUUGGUGUUGGGGAUCGGCGAUAGUCGCCGUCCCCCAAAUCUAGUGGCGGUCUCGCUGUAGCCUCCAUUGCGUAGUAGCUAACACCUCGCAACUGGAACGCGGCGCGGCCAAGCCGUUAAACCCCCAACUUCUGAAUGUUGACCUCGGAUCAGGUAGGAAUACCCGCUGAACUUAAGCAUAUCAAUAG
rnacentral:rRNA from 2 species